AGAGUUUGAUCCUGGCUCAGGAUUAACGCUGGCGGCGUGCCUAAUACAUGCAAGUCGAAUGGUUAGCUUGCUAACCAUGGCGAACGGGUGAGUAACACGUAGGCAACCUGUCUUACAGACGAGGAUAACCGUUGGAAACGACGGAUAAUACUGGAUAGUACAUCACAAUGGGCAUCCAUAGAUGUUUAAAGGAGCAAUCCACCAUAAGAGGGGCCUGCGGCGCAUUAGCUAGUUGGUGAGGUAAAGGCCCACCAAGGCGAUGAUGCGUAGCCGGACUGAGAGGUUGAACGGCCACAAUGGGACUGAGAACGGCCCAUACUCCUACGGGGGGCAGCAGUAGGGAAUUUUCGGCAAUGGGCGCAAGCCUGACCGAGCAAUGCCGCGUGAAAGAAGAAGUAUUUCGGUAUGUAAAUUUCUUUUAUUUGGGACGAAAAAACAAAUUGACGGUACCAAAUGAAUAAGCUCCGGCUAACUACGUGCCAGCAGCCGCGGUAAUACGUAGGGAGCGAGCGUUAUCCGGAUUUAUUGGGCGUAAAGGGUGCGUAGGCGGGACAGUAAGUUCAUGGUGAAAAUGCGGGGCUCAACCCCGUAUGGCUAUGGAUACUGCUGUUCUAGAGUGUGGUAGAGGUGAAUGGAACUCCAUGUGUAGCGGUAAAAUGCGUAAAUAUAUGGAAGAACACCAGUGGCGAAGGCGGUUCACUAGGCCAAGACUGACGCUGAGGCACGAAAGCGUGGGGAGCAAACAGGAUCAGAUACCCUGGUAGUCCACGCCCUAAACGAUGAGUACUAAGUGUCGGAGCAAUUCGGCGCUGAAGCUAACACAUUAAGUACUCCGCCUGAGUAGUACGUACGCAAGUAUGAAACUUAAAGGAAUUGACGGGAGCCCGCACAAGCGGUGGAGCAUGUUGUUUAAUUCGUCGAUACACGAAAAACCUUACCAGGUCUUGACAUCCCUUGCAAAGCUAUAGAGAUAUAGUGGAGGUUAUCAAGGAGACAGGUGGUGCAUGGUUGUCGUCAGCUCGU
rnacentral:rRNA from 1 species